GACGUAGGGUGCAAGCGUUGUCCGGAUUUACUGGGCGUAAAGAGCGCGUAGGCGGUCUGUUAAGUGUAGAGUGAAAUCUCCAGGGCUCAACCCGGAAACUGCUCUGCAUACUGGCAGACUUGAGGGUCGAAGAGGUUUAUGGAAUUCCUGGUGUAGCGGUGAAAUGCGCAGAUAUCAGGAGGAACACCGGUGGCGAAGGCGGUUCUCUGGGCAUUACCUGACGCUGAGGAGCGAAAGUGUGGGGAGCGAGCGGG
rnacentral:rRNA from 1 species